UAGAGAGGGAAAGCUCUUCAGCCUUCAAGAAAGCACGUGGAGCAUCACUCAACAAAUCAGAUGCCUACAUAAUGAGAGAUAUUAGAGCAAUGGCCCCUCCAUAUGUCUGAGCACGUCCCUGGAUCGGAGAGAGAGAGAGAGG